rnacentral:rRNA from 1 species
AUUAAACGCUGGCGGCAUGCCUUACACAUGCAAGUCGAACGGCAGCACGGGUGCUUGCACCUGGUGGCGAGUGGCGAACGGGUGAGUAAUGCAUCGGAACGUGCCUAUUAGUGGGGGAUAACGCUUCGAAAGGAGUGCUAAUACCGCAUAAUCUCUGAGGAGGAAAGCAGGGGGACCUUCGGGCCUUGCGCUGAUAGAGCGGCCGAUGUCGGAUUAGCUAGUUGGUGAGGUAAAGGCUCACCAAGGCGACGAUCCGUAGCGAGUCUGAGAGGAUGAUCCGCCACACUAGGACUGAGACACGGCCCAGACUCCUACGGGAGGCAGCAGUGGGGAAUUUUGGACAAUGGGCGCAAGCCUGAUCCAGCCAUGCCGCGUGAGUGAAGAAGGCCUCGG